rnacentral:rRNA from 1 species
GACAUGCAGAGAACUUUCCAGAGAUGGAUUGUGCCUUCGGAACUCUGACACAGGUGCUGCAUGGCUGUCGUCAGCUCGUGUCGUGAGAUGUUGGGUUAAGUCCGUAACGAGCGCAACCCUUGUCCUUAGUUACCAGCACGUUAUGGUGGGCACUCUAAGGAGACUGCCGGUGACAAACCGGAGGAAGGUGGGGAGUGACGUCAAGUCAUCAUGGCCCUUACGGCCUGGGCUACACACGUGCUACAAUGGUCGGUACAAAGGGUUGCCAAGCCGCGAGGUGGAGCUAAUCCCAUAAAACCGAUCGUAGUCCGGAUCGCAGUCUGCAACUCGACUGCGUGAAGUCGGAAUCGCUAGUAAUCGUGAAUCAGAAUGUCACGGUGAAUACGUUCCCGGGCCUU